UCGAGAAUCUUCGGCAAUGGGCGCAAGCCUGACCGAGCGACGCCGUGUGCGGGAUGAAGGCCUUCGGGUUGUAAACCGCUGUCAGUGGGGAGGAAGGUUCUGUGAAGAGCAGAGUUUGACCAAUCCGCAGAGGAAGUCCGGGCUAAGUUCGUGCCAGCAGCCGCGGUAAUACGAACCGGACAAACGUUAUUCGGAAUUAUUGGGCUUAAAGGGUGCGUAGGCGGCCAUUCAAGUCGGGUGUGAAAUCCCACGGCUCAACCGUGGAACUGCGCUCGAUACUGUUUGGCUUGAGGGAGACAGAGGUGAGCGGAACUGAUGGUGGAGCGGUGAAAUGCGUUGAUAUCAUCAGGAACACCGGUGGCGAAGGCGGCUCACUGGGUCUCUUCUGACGCUGAGGCACGAAAGCUAGGGUAGCGAACGGGAUUAGAUACCCGUGUAGUCC
rnacentral:rRNA from 1 species